GUAGUCCAGGAGGUCUCCGUAGGGAGAGCCACUUCCGCCCAAGCCAAAUAGGAAGAGCUCUGGUCUGCAGCUCCCAGUGUGAUCAAUGCAAGAUGGGUGAUUUCUGCAUUUCCAACUGAGCUACCUGAUUCAUCUCAUUGGGACUGAUUGGACAGUGAGUUCAUCCCACGGAGGGUGAGCUGAAGCAGGGCAGGGCAUCAACUCACCCAGGAAGUGCAAGGGGUUGGGGGAUUUUCCUUUCCUAGCCAAAGGAAGGCAUGACAGACUGUACCUGGAAAAACAGGACACUCUUGCCCAAAUGGACAUAAAUGACCUGAUGGAGCUGAAAAAACACAGCUCGAGAACUUCAUGAAGCAUACACAAGUCUCAAUAGCCAAAGUGACCAAGCGGAAGAAAGGAUAUCAGAGUUUGAAGACCACCUUGCUGAAAUAAAGCAUGCAGACAAGAUUAGAGAAAAAAGAAUGAAAAAGAAUGAACAAAGCCUCCAAGAAAUAUGGGACUAUGUAAAAAGACCGAACCUACUAUUGAUUGGAGUACCUGAAGGAGAUCGAGCAAAUGGAAAUGAGCUGGAAAACACUCUUCAGGCUGGGACUACACAGCCAAGGUUUUAUAUACAGGAGAACUUCCCCAACCUAGCAAGACAGGCCAACAUGCAAAUUCAGGAAAUACAGAGAACACCACUAAGAUACUCCUCGAGAAGAUCACCCCCAAGACACAUAAUCAUCAGAUUCUCCAAGGUCAAAAUAAAGAAAAAAAUAUUAAGGGCAGCCAGAGAGAAAGGUCAGGUUACCUACAAUAGUUUCAUCAGACUAACAGCAGAUCUCUCUGCAGAAACCCUACAAGCCAGAAGAGAGUGGGGGCCAAUAUUCAACAUUUUUAAAGAACAUAAUUUUUAACCCAGAAUUUCAUAUCCAGCCAAACUAACCUUCAUAAGCAAAGGAGAAAUAAAAUCCUUUCCAGACAAGCAAAUGCUGAGGGAUUUCGUCAUCACUAGGCCUGCCUUACAAGAGCUCCUGAAGGAAGCACUAAAUAUGGAAAGUCAAAACCAGUACCAGCCACUGCAAAAACACACCAAAAUACAGAAACCAAUGACACUAUGAAGAAAUUGCAUCAAUUAGCAUGCAAAAUAACCAGAUAGCAUCAUGAUGACAGGAUCUAAUCCACACAUAACAAUACUAACCUUAAAUGUAAAUGGACUAAAUGCCCCAAUUGAAAGACACAGCCUGGCAAAUUGGAUAGAGUCAAGACCCAGUGGUGUGCUGUAUUUGGGAGAUGCAGCUCACAUGCAAAGACACACAUAGGCUCAAAAUAAAGGGAUGGAGGAAAAUUUACCAAGCAAAUGGAAAGAAAAAAAAAAGGCAUGGGCUGC
ensembl:lncRNA novel transcript